UACGGAGGGUGCAAGCGUUAUCCGGAUUUACUGGGUUUAAAGGGUGCGUAGGCGGAUCUUUAAGUCAGUGGUGAAAUCUCUCGGCUCAACCGAGAAACUGCCAUUGAUACUAUCAAUCUUGAAUACCGUGGAGGUCAGCGGAAUAUGUCAUGUAGCGGUGAAAUGCUUAGAUAUGACAUAGAACACCAAUUGCGAAGGCAGCUGGCUACACGAAUAUUGACACUGAUGCACGAAAGCGUGGGGAUCAAACAGG
rnacentral:rRNA from 1 species